rnacentral:miRNA from 1 species
UUUUGGACUGAAGGGAGCUCC